rnacentral:rRNA from 1 species
GAUGAACGCUGGCGGCGUGCCUAAUACAUGCAAGUCGAGCGAACGGACGAGAAGCUUGCUUCUUUGAUGUUAGCGGCGGACGGGUGAGUAACACGUGUAUAACCUACCUAUAAUACUGGGAUAAUCUCGGGAAACCGGAUCUAAUACCGUAUAAUAUUUUGAACCGCAUGGUUCAAAGGUGAAAGACGGUCUUUCUGUCACUUAUAGCUGGAUCCGCGCUGCAUGAGCUAGUUGGUAAGGUAACGGCUUACCAAGGCGACGAUGCAUAGCCGACCUGAGAGGGGGAUCGGGGACUGAGGAGCUGAGACGCGGUACAGACACCGACGGGAGGCAGCAGUAGCGAAUGGUGCGAGAAGGGCGAAAGACUGAAGGAGGAACGCAGCGUGAGUGAAGCAGGUCUUCGGGUGGUAAAACUCUGUUAUUAGGGAAGACCGUAUGUGUAAGUAACUGUGCACAUGUGGCCGGAACCUAAUAAGAAAGCCCCGGCUACCUAGGU